rnacentral:rRNA from 1 species
AGUACGUGAAACUGCUUAGAGGUUAAGCCCGAUGAACCUGAAUAUCCAUUAUGGAAAAUUCAUCACUAAUGAUACGAUAUUUAUAAUAUUGUAGAAAUGGUGUGCAAUUUUUCCAUAUAAGGACAUUGUAAUCUGUUAAUGUGAUAAAUGUUUAUCAAAAGAUCCAUUACUUAAGUUUAAUCAAAUUAGUUAUUUUCGGAUUUCUAACAUAGAUUAAAUGUUUUGGAUUUGAUAAAUCAUUGACAGAUAAAAUUAUAUAAUGUGCUUAAAUUUUUCGGAAUUUUACCAAUGGUAGAUAGAUCUAUUGAUUUAUUUAUACAUUGUAUGCACUAUUAUGAUUAACAAUGCGAUAGAUUCAGGAUACCUUCGGGACCCGUCUUGAAACACGGACCAAGGAGUCUAACAUAUGUGCAAGUCAUUGGGUAUUUUUAAUAAAACCCAAUGGCAUAAUUAACUUAACUGUUAUUAAUAAUGGGAUUAGUUUAUAUUUUGUUAUGAAAUAUGAAUUCAAUCCCGGGGCGUUCUAUAUAGUUAUGCAUAAUGGUAUUUAUAUUAUUUAUGCCUCUAACUAGGGCGUACCCUGAGC